UACGACCAUUCGACUUUACGACCACAAUCACUAGCCACGACUGCUCCGCGUCUGGCAGCACAAGCAUUGCCCAGCUGGGCAUACGACAGUGCGGACCAGCUUCCGGCAGCACUACCAUCUCCGCCUGCACCAUUUCAGCUGUACGUUUAGCCUACUCAACUUACGACCAAAUUGUGUUACAACUGGUCUG